UUUUGGAUAGAUCAUAUUGACAAAAAAGUUUGCGACCUCGAUGUUGGAUUAGGAUACUUUUUUAAUGAAGAUAUUAAAAUAAGAAGUUUGUUCAACUUUUAAAUUCCUACUUGAUCUGAGUUCAGACCAA
rnacentral:rRNA from 1 species